rnacentral:rRNA from 1 species
AUUGAACGCUGGCGGCAUGCCUUACACAUGCAAGUCGAACGAGUGGCGGACGGGUGAGUAACAUAUCGGAAUGUACCGGGUAAUGGGGGAUAACUACUCGAAACAUUAGCUAAUACCGCAUAUUAUUCGAUCGGCCGAUAUCGGAUUAGCUGGUGGGUGGGGUAAAGGCCUACCAAGGCGACGAUCAGUAGCGGGUCUGAGAGGAUGAUCAGCCACACUGGAACUGAGACACGGCCCAGACUCCUACGGGAGGCAGCAGUGGGGAAUUUUGGACAAUGGGCGCAAGCCUGAUCCAGCCAUGCCGCGUGUGUGAAGAAGGCCUUAGGGUUGUAAAGUACUUUUGGCAGGGAGGCGGUACCGGAAGAAAAAGCAACGGCUAACUACGUGCCAGCAGCCGCGGUAAUAC